AAAUCAUGGAAUUUCUUUUUCAGAAAAAUAAAAGAUUUUAUUCUUUGAUUACCAUUGCAAUAUCUUAUUUCAAUAAAAUGAAAAGUUAUGAUAAUUUUUAACAAUAAUAAUAAUAAUUUUUAACUUGAAUUGUUAAAUUUUUCUAAUGUUUUUUUUUAUUUUUAUUUUUUUAAUUUGAUAAUAUCAACAAAAAUUUGCCCAAAUUCCACGGAGAACUGGACAAUGGAUUCUCGUCACAGCAAGGGAUCAACAAUAUAACAUAAAGGAACCUAGGAGAAAUAAUAAUAGGUGCACAAACCUGGACAACAUGCUUAAGCAAAUGGAAAACAACCUGGAAGAUAAUGAAGCGGAAUCAAGUCAUCAUACGGUUGAGUGAGCUUCAUUCUUGUGGUAUGUGCCCUAUGGAUAGACCAACACGAGGGCUAUUUUGGAAUGGACCUCCUAAUUUGGAACCGCAGUCAGAUGAUGAGGAUGGCGCCUGAACUGGCACCCCCUCCCCUCUAAUCUUCCACUCCACGGCACCAAGAAAACUGGUGCCUCGGACAUGUUUUAGAGAGAAAUGAGGAACUCGAUGAAGUAGAGCAACACUAGGGCUAUUUUGGGACGGACCUUGGAAGUUUGAACCGCCAUCAGAUAAUGAGGACGACAUCUGAACUGUCGACAUCUGCACCACCAGAACCCUCCAAACUUCCACACCACACCAGUGGGAGGACGCUUUUCCAACCUAAGCAACCUUACACAGAUAUACUUAUAAUGUUUCUAAAACUCCAGGAUUUUGUCCAAAUUUGAACAAGUGUUUAAAAACGCAAUCAUCCCUGAUGAGCGAUUCGGAAAAAUUAUUAUUCUUUCAUUUGAUGAAACUUUGAUAAAAGCAGGAUCAACAUAAGCUACAGACUUAGAUUGCGUUGAUGGGUUCACCACGUUCAGACAAGAAAACAAUGAUAAACCACCAUAUGCAACUGACAACCUCAUGGCCCAAGGAAUUGUCAAAAAUUGGAAGCAGGUCCAUGAAACAAAGGACUUCUUAAAAUCUUGAAUGUGACAACAGAAAAUCUUUGCUUUAUACAAAAAAAAAAAAAAAAUGUAUGCAUUGUACGAUCCUUCUCACCUUCUGAAAUUUGUAAGAAAUAACCUGAUGAAUUUAUUAUAAAGACAUAAUCAUAAGCUACAGACUUAGAUUGCGUUGAUGGGUUCACCACGUUCAGACAAGAAAACAAUGAUAAACCACCAUAUGCAACUGACAACCUCAUGGCCCAAGGAAUUGUCAAAAAUUGGAAGCAGGUCCAUGAAACAAAGGACUUCUUAAAAACUUGAAUGUGACAACAGAAAAUCUUUGCUUUAUACAAAAAAAAAAAAUGUAUGCAUUGUACGAUCCUUCUCACCUUCUGAAAUUUGUAAGAAAUAACCUGAUGAAUUUAUUAUAAAGACACGUCUGUUGGAAAUUGUUCACAAGAUGAUAUUCCUACACCUCGUACAGCCUUUGCAAAUUGGAAACAUAUUAUGGAACUCUAUCAGAUAGAUACAAAAGAACUACAACCACUUCAAAAUAAAAAUAUACCCAAAGAAAAGAAUUAACAGAAAUAUUUGGCCUGGCGUCAUCCUUCACUGGAACGGAUUUGAAAAAAGCUCCUUUUUGCGCAUCUGAUUUGGUCAAUUGACCGCCUGAGGUGGAAUCACUUGAAGUAUGAAGUUGAUGAAAGAAGAUAAAAUAAAUAUUCCUGAUUGUAAAAAUUAAUUUUAUGUUUGAAAAACUGUUUUAUGUUAAAAGAAUAAACGAUCUUUAUAUCUGUA